rfam:Streptomyces sp. ERV7 Contig_2, whole genome shotgun sequence.
CGGUCCCUCACGCGGUACGGUCUCGUCGACAUAAAGACGGUGUGAAGGAAGCCCGGUGAGAUUCCGGCACGGUCGCGCCACUGUGAACCCGGCGAGCUCCCUCAACAGGGGGCGAAGACGGGGAAGUCAGACCCACCACCGUCGACAAAGGCACCAA